rnacentral:lncRNA from 1 species
UGUGGAUGUAGUUACGAUAGCACAUGUGCACAUAAUGCUGUCCACGCAGAGAUCUGUGCAGCACGGAGGGUCUGUGUGCCGGUGUCGGCGGUGCUCGGCAGGGAUGGCAGCCGUGUGCUGUGCAGUCCCGGUGCCUGCAGGUCUGUCUGCAUGUGCAGAUCUCCCAUGGGGUGGAGGAGCGGCAUAAAACCCAUUGGUGUGGGAGCAAUCUGUCAUGGCAGGGUGUGGUAACGGGGCAGGGGGAGGCGCGUCAACAGGUUUGGAGCUGAAGUGAUCUCCCCGUGCAGUACUAAAAAACAAACCGAUGUGCAGCGAUACAAUGGGAGGAAAUUCUGUUUUGUGCUCCGAACAACAGACCUCCGUCACGUUCCUCCCGUGAUUGAUG